rnacentral:lncRNA from 1 species
AGGAAGGACCAUUGCCUCAUAAUGACCGUUUGAGUUACCAACCGCUGGACAUUUAUGCCGCACCCCUCCACAGAUGUUAAAAUCAGUGGUGGCUGUUGGAAUUUUGUGGUCAGACUAGUAUGGAAAGUCGUCGAGUAGUGAAAUUUGGGGCGCAGAGAAUAGAGAUAAUUACAUUUUUUCGCAUCAACUCUGACCAAUGCCUUCGUCAAAUCCAACGCAAGUGCCGAUGGAAAUACUGCUAAUAGAUAGAUACGUUGGGUAGGCCUGUGCACUGUUUCAUUCUUGGCUCUAGUAUUCAUCUUUUUGUCUCUCGCUUUUUUCUUCUCUUUUUCCUUUCCCUUAUAUUAUUUCAUGCUUUAUUUAGAGGAACUUUGUAUAAGAGAAAAGCAGGAGGAAGAGAAUAGAGAGCUCAGCAGUUGGAGAUUUUGAUGAUCGAUCACGUGCUUUGUAUAAAGGAUGUUUUCCCCAAUGCUUUGUAUAACUGAUUUUAAGACUAUUUAUGCAUCAUUAUAUUGCAAAGCUU